rnacentral:rRNA from 1 species
GAUGAACGCUGGCGGCGUGCCUAAUACAUGAAAGUCGAGCGAACAGAUGAGGAGCUUGCUCCUCUGACGUUAGCGGCGGACGGGUGAGUAACACGUGGAUAACCUACCUAUAAGACUGGGAUAACUUCGGGAAACAGGAGCUAAUACCGGAUAAUAUAUUGAACCGCAUGGUUCAAUAGUGAAAGACGGUUUUGCUGUCACUUAUAGAUGGAUCUGCGCCGCAUUAGCUAGUUGGUAAGGUAACGGCUUACCAAGGCGACGAUGCGUAGCCGACCGGAGAGGGGGAUCGGCGACACUGGAGCGGGGACACGCUCCAGACGCCUACGGGAGGGAGCAGUAGGGAACCUGACGCAAUGGGCGAGAGCCUGACGGAGCAACGCGGCGUGAGUGAUGAAGGUCUUCGGAUCGUAAAACUGUGUUAUUAGGGAAAAACAACUGUGUAAGGAACUAUGCACGUCUUGACGGUACCUAAUCAGAAAGCCACGGCUAACUACGUG